UGCGAGUACUUUGUGGGUGAUGAGUCAUUAUCAUAAAUCUCCAGCCUCCCCGAAGCAUCUAUUUUAUAGCCUGCACUGAGCAGAAAUAUCACCUAAUAAUGCCUUAUAUUUCUAAAGCCUUUUACGGUUCAAAAAGUGCUUUCCUGCGUAUUAUCUCAUACGAUCUUCUAGGGUGUUUACAAGUUGGUAUUGUGAAGGACUUGUCCCAGAUAUUGUAGCAGGCCUAUUCAUUUAUAAUUUCCAGGGUCCACCCCUCCUCUCCUUCCCUCAGUUCCCUUUUGUUCAGUAUUCAGCACUUUCCAGUUCUUUUUUUCCAUUUCACUGCAGAAAAAGAAAAAAAAGAAAAGAAAAGAAAAGAAAAACAGAGUGGCUGAACAAUGCCCCCUGCUUAAGUCCCCUAGAAGCAUAUUUUCUUUAGAGCAACAGAGGCUUUUGCAAUAUGGAAAAAGUGACAUUUGAUCUGAAGGAGUGUGGAGGGGAGCUCUGAGUGUGGGGGACUGACCUUUACUAACCACCUACCCAGAGCGGAGGCUGGAGAAGCGCGAGCUGAGCCUGCAGCAGUGAUGUCUGGUGCCCUCCACAGGCCAAAUUUUAUUGCCUUGACCUUUCUUCAAAUGAGAUGAUCUUCUGGGCCUCCUUACUCUGGACCCCUACUCCAGGCAGCACUGGAUUUGAAACCUGUUACCCGGGAAGAAGCUCCAUGGAGUCAGAGCUGCAGAAAUCUGGCCACAGAAUCCUACCCUAAGAGCACCGAGAGAAAGAGAAAUGCCCUCAGUGAAAUACUGUCACCUGGAACUGGACUGAGAACCAAUUACCUCUCAUCAGAAUCAAAUCCAUCCACAAAGAACUCUGAUGCUAGCUUCUCCUGGAGGAAUCGAUCCCAGCAUUCCUUCUUGGCUUGGGCCAAGGUUCGAAGCAUGUCCUUAGAAGUUACUUCCUGAUUUAAACCUUUGAUUCUUCUCAGUUUCUUCUCUAAAAACAGAUGAGGAGAAGUUAACAAGGAAAGUGAGUAUAAAAUGAAAUAAACCUAAAAUGCAACAUGACAACUCAAAAAUUCUCUCACUGAUGAGUAUAUUCACACUCCCUGCAAAAGAGCUCAUUUUUUCUGAGGACAUGUACAGGGAAAUGUACAUUUUUCUUUUUCCUUCACAAUGUCUUAACUCUGGAUUGUAUCAAAGAAACAUUUAACCCCAGAAAGGGAAAAAGCCAUAGGCUCUCAUAAAUAAAUCAGUGGCAUGUCUUCUUUGAAAUCACAGAAGCCAGCAGGUAUCUCUCUAAGGAAUUACUUGUUUUCCCUGGCUUGACAUGUGUCAACUCCUUGAAUAUAGUCUCUCUGAGGAGUAAGUGGUUUUUCUUUUUGUUACAAUGACAUGAAGUAGUUUCCAAACCUCAGGAGAAAGAAUUAGAGAAAAUAAUGAAAGAUCCAAUGGUUCAUUAGACACUAAAAUUGACUUGAUGGGAACUCAAUAAUCAGAGACCUUGAAGAUCUCUAUGUGUGAUUAAAUUCUUCAUAAAAGAAAAUCUCCCAACGUUUUUUACAGUUACUCAACUUGUGGCCUGGAUGUUGGGACCUUAUAAAAACAAACAUCUUCUAAUUCCAACGAAUGGUCUACAUGGCUUCCUGAUGAUAGAUGUUUACUUAUUCUUCUGUGCAUUUUAAGUGUAAUUGUUGAACAACUGAAGAACAGAAGGAACAGUAUCACCAUUUGCCUUCUGCUUUAAUUCAGUCUUGCCUUCAACUAUAAUAAAUGUGUCAAUGAUGGCCUUUUGGAGGGGGGAGUGGGGAAUAAUAUCAAGCCGAGACCCAAACAGAAACUUUAUGAUUUGCAAUCCUGUUUUCAUUUCUUCUUUUUAAAAUUUUAUUUAUUUAUUUUAAAUAAUCUCUACACCCAAUGUGGGGCUUGAAAUUAUAACCCCGAGAUCAAGAGUUACAUAUUCCUCCGACUAAGCUAGUCUGGAGCCCCCUGUUUUCACUUUUUUUUUUUUUUAAAUGUUUACUUAUUUAUUUUGAAAGAGAGA